rnacentral:rRNA from 1 species
AUUGAACGCUAGCGGGAUGCUUUACACAUGCAAGUCGAACGAGUGGCGGACGGGUGAGUAAUAUAUGGGAACGUGCCCAGUAGCGGGGGAUAACUACUCGAAAGGGUGGCUAAUACCGCAUACUAUUGGAUCGGCCCAUAUCGGAUUAGCUAGUUGGUGGGGUAAAGGCUCACCAAGGCAACGAUCCGUAGCUGGUUUGAGAGGACGACCAGCCACACUGGGACUGAGACACGGCCCAGACUCCUACGGGAGGCAGCAGUGGGGAAUAUUGCACAAUGGGCGCAAGCCUGAUGCAGCCAUGCCGCGUGUAUGAAGAAGGCCUUAGGGUUGUAAAGUACUUUCAGUGGGGAGGCGUUACCGACAGAAGAAGCACCGGCUAACUCCGUGCCAGCAGCCGCGGUAAUUC